AGAAAAACACAAAGUUGGAUCCCCAAGACUGAAACCUGCUAGUGCUGAUCUUGGUGUGUGCACCUGUAGGUCAUACCCAGGAAUUGCUGGAUAGGAUUUGCAACACAGCAGAACACGAUGUCAGCCAUGUUCAUUGUGAUUAAGUUCCAGAGGUGUUUGCUUCCACAGUAUGACGGACACAGAAGGACAGAUCCCAAAGAGGGCUACUGUCAGUCUCAUUGUUGCUUGACUUAUCAAUGUAAUCUGAUUGUUGCCAGUCUGUGGAGUAGAUCUAAACAGAAAAAAGAAGAGGGUUCUCACUGUCUCUACACUGCAUGAUGGUACAGGAAUUUCCUUUCUCAGUGUAAGACUGCCUGGUGGUUGUGAAACAGGCAUUUCCCACUUCUGGUACUCACUCACUUACCUUUCUUCACUUACCUACCCUUUUGAACUCUCAUUUUUUAUCUGCAAAAAUCAACUAUGAAAGCAUAACUUGUGUGUGUGUGUGUGUGUGUGUGUGUGUGUGUGUGUGUUGUUGUUGUUGUUGUUGUUGU
rnacentral:lncRNA from 1 species